UGUUUCUAACAUGGUAAUAGUCACUAGCAACCCAACGGUCUAAUUCUAUGUCUCAAAGUGAAUGUUUAACCGUUCAUUAUAUUCGCUGCCCCUUUAUGGCAAUAUAUCUCAUUAUGUCCAAACCUUGUUCCAACACUAGUGCCUCUUUGUGACACUAGGUUUUACUAUGUCCCGAGCACAUUCCAAGCUUAAUGCCCCUUUAUGACAUUAACUUACUAAGUUCAUACAUAUGCCAAGCCCAAUGCCACUUUAUGACAUUAGCUCACUCCUAUGCCAAGCAUGAGCUCUAAGUCCAAGAGUACAAUGUACUUAUCAUUUUCACUAAAUGAAACAUGAUCUCAAUCCAAGUAUAAGAAUGCUAAUCAUAUGCAUGAUCCGAACAUGAAUAGCUCUCUACUACAUAGAGGUCCAAAUGUGCAUUAUACAUAACAUGUGCAUAUUAAACAUUCUAAAAUUCACAAAUAUUCCAUCUAGCAUGAAUAUGCAUGAAAUUCCAUUUUACGACAAAUAUG
rnacentral:lncRNA from 1 species